rnacentral:lncRNA from 1 species
CUGAAAAGUUCAUACUUACUAAUCACUACAGCGAAUGAAAAAAAAGAAAAAAAAGAAAAAAUAAAUAAAUAAAUAAAUAAAUAGUACGUUUACAUAUUAAUGUAUUAUUACGUUUACAUAUUAAUGUAUUAUUACGUGUACAUAUAAAUGCACUAACACGUGUACAAAUACAUAUACAUUUACAUAUAUGUAUUAGUUGACUGAUUGAACAAAAUGAAAAACUAUAAUAAUAAUAAUAAUAAUAUCCCAAAAAAUAAACCAAAGGGAGAAAACAAUAAUUAUAAUGCAAACAAAAUUACUAACAAUUAUAAUAGUAAUAGAAUUAACAAUAGUUAUAACUAUGAUAAUACUAAUACAUAUAAUUAUAAAAAGAAAAACAAUUUAGGUAAAAUGAAUUCAUAUGAUUAUGACCAUUCGAAGGAAAAAGAAAAAGAAAAAAUUAGUACUAAUAAUGAUAUUACUUCUGGUUCUUAUAGAAAAAGCAAUUAUGGCUAUAACUAUAAUCACAAUUAUAAUUAUAAUGAUCAUAUUAGAAAAAAAGAAGCAGUAUCAAAUUAUGUACAUACAACAAAUAGUAAUUAUAAUAAUAGCAUAUAUGAAGAAGUAGAUAAAAUUAAUAGUAUAACAUUUGGAUCUAAUUAUGAUAAUCAAGAAUGUUUUUUCCCAUACAGCAUGGAUAAUAAUUUUAUAGAAAAUGAAAAAAAAUUAUUUAAAUUAAAUAGCAAAGAUAAUAAAAACAUAAAAAAUGCUGAAUUUAUAAUGAAAAAAAAUAAUGUUGCAAUAAAUAAUAAUAAAAAUUCAAAAUUUACUAAUAAAAGUAAAAAAAAUGAAGUGGGACCUGGUUUUAAACAACCUGAUGGAUAUAUGAAUAGCCAACCAAGGGAUAGCCAACCAAGGGAUAGCCAACCAAGGGAUAGCCAACCAAGGGAUAGCAAACCAAGGGAUAGCAAACCAAGGGAUAGCAAACCAAAAGAUAGCGAGCCAAAUAAUAGCGAUCCAAACAAUAGCAGAAGUAAUGACAAUGUAGAAGAGAAAAAAAAAAGAAAAAAAGAGUAUGUAUUAAACGAAAACAAUAAUGAUAAUAGUAACAUAAACAAACACAGUAGUCAUAGUAAUAAAAACAUGAAUACGGAUAAUAUAGUUUAUAAGGAUGAAAUAAAUGAAAAAACAUAUGAUGAUAUAUUCCAAUUUGAGAAUAAGGCGUCAGACUUAACAAAAUUAAUAAACAAAAAUAUAUUUUAUUCUAAUAAUAAUGAUGAUGAAUUAAACAAUGAACAAUUAUUAGAAAAUGAAUCCAUAUUCGAUUUUAAUAACAUAAGCAGAGAUAUUAACAAUGAAAAUACUACCGAUAAGAUUCAAAAAAUUAACAGUAGUAUAGGUGAUAAUAAAAAUAAUACAAAGAAUGCUAGUAGCACAUUUAAUAGUAACAAUAAAACAAGAGGAUUUAAAUAUAAUUUAAUGAAAUAUACAGAAAAUGAAUCAGAUAAAUUGGAAAAACGAGAAGAAACGCAACGGGUACAUGUACAAACAGAAGAAUGUAUGCUAAACCAACGGAAUGUAAACCUUCAAAGGUAUAGCGGAUAUUCGCAUGGACAUAAAGCAGACCCACACGAACAAACCGAAAAGAAAUUAACAGAUUUAUAUUUUUUAGAAACAUGUGAAAAAUUAUAUAAUGAUAAAAUGUACCAUGGGAAUUAUGAAGAUAAUAUAAAUUAUGUUAAUAUUUUAAACGAAAGAAAUAUAAGCAAUACAAGUAAUAAAAUAAAAAAAGUUGUAAAAAGUAAUACAGUAAAGGAAAAUACUUUUGAACAUGAAGAGAUUCAGGGUGAUAUGAAACAAUUUAAUGAGCUAUCAAGCGAGUAUUAUAAUAAUAAUUGUACAAACGUUUAUUUGGAUGUUAAUAGUGGAAAGUCAAAUAUGUACAAAUUAAAUGAUGAUGGUGAUGGUGAUGGUGAUGGUGAUUAUGAUAAAAUGAAUAGUUUAAUUACAAAUCCAAAUGAAAAAUAUAAAAGAUCAUAUUUAAAUUCAUAUAAUAAAAAGCAUAACGAUUUGAAUGAUAAUGGAAGUAAAUAUGAACCCGAAUUUGAUGACAAUAAUUUUAUAAUGAAUGUAAAAAAAUUAAGUAAAAAAAAAGAUAAUUUAAUCGAAGAUAUAUUUAGCCUGGAUAAUAUAGGUUCCGCUGAAAUGUUUGAAAAAAUGAAUAAUGAUAUGACUAUCAAUUUUAUGAAUAUAAAAAUCGAUAAGGACAUAUUAAGUGAUGAGAAUAUUUUGAAGGCAGCUAAUGAAAUUUUAUUAGAAAAAUGUUUAGAUGAACCGAGGUCAGAAGUAAAAGCAGUUUAUAAUUCUGAUUUAAACAUCCACAGGGAUGAACAAAUGAAUAUGUUAAAAAAAAAAAAAAAAAAAAAAAAUGAUAAAUUUAAACAAAAGAGUAACGAAAUUGAUAUGAGUCAAAUAGCAGAUACAAAUUAUGUGAAUAUAGUUAAUAAACACCAUUUAAAUAAUAAUAAAGAUAUUAAGUUGAUGUUAAAAAAAAACAAUAACUGUAUAGAUACUACUAUAAUUGAUAGUGCUAACAAUAAUAGUAUCAUUAACUAUGAAAAAAACCACAACAACAAAGGUGAACAGAAUAAUAAUAUGAGUUUACACAAGAAAACCAUAUAUGAUAUGUAUAACAUAGAUGAUACAUCAUACAACAUUUACACAGAUAAAUACGAUAAUAACGAUUAUAAUACCCAUAAUCAGAACGAUAAAAGAAGUAAUAAUAAUAAUAAUAAUAAUAAUAAUUAUAAUAAUAAUUAUAAUAAUAAUAAUAAUAAUAGUAAUAAUAAUAAUAGUAAUAAUAAUAAUAGUAAUAAUAAUAAUAAUAGUAAUAAUAAUAAUAGUANNNNNNNNNNUAAUAAUAAUAGUAAUAAUAAUAAUAAUAGUAAUAAUAAUAAUAGUAAUAAGAGCAAUAGUAGUUGUAGUAGUAGUAGCAUUAUUAUUAAUAACAAUCAACACCAUCGUAAUACACAUAUCACUCCUUUACCACAUGGUGACAAUGUUUUAAAGAACUACGAAUCUUAUAACAACAGUAAAAUUUAUAACAGUUAUUAUAAUAAUCAUCAUAAUAAUAACAAUAGUAAUAAUAAUAAUAAUAAUGUUCAAAUUGCUACAAUUAAUAAUAGUAAAGGGAGUGACAGUAACUCUUGUUUUUCCAACAAUAAUAAUGAUACUAUAAUUGUUCUGAACGAAAAUAGUAUUAAUUUAUUAAUAAAAAAUAAUAUGCUUAAAUUUACUACGUUUUUAAAAAAUAUAUACAAGCAAACUAAAAUAAACGAUUUAAAUGAUGACCUAUAUAAUUACUAUAGAUUUAUAAAUAAAAUAAAUGCGAAUAUUAAGGAAGUUAAUUAUGAUAUGGUAUAUAAACAGUUAAUGCAAAACAGUGAUAAAGAUAAAUUACUACGAAUACAAUUAUCAUAUAUGAUAAUAAACACAUCUAUACAAAAGAAUACUGGUAAAUGGACUUUUAAAACAGAAGAUAAAGACAAAGAAAGGGACAGGUUAAGCGAAUCGAAUCGAUAUAUACAAUAUGGUAAUAACUAUUUUAAAAAUAAAAAUGAACAGAGACAUGGGAAUUAUGUUUUAAAACAAUAUUUAUAUAAUAAUGAUAGUAGUUGGGCUAACGGUCAUAUUACUGCUCAUAGUGAUGAACAAAACAGUGAUGAUAGCGGUAGUUAUAAUAAUAACAUGAACAACAGUGGUAUAUGCUUUAAUAGUUACGAAACUAGUUUUAACAAUCUUGAAAAAAAAAAAAAAAAAAAUUAUAAUAAUAAUAAUAGUAAUAAUAAUAAUAAUAAUAGUAAUAAUAAUAAUAAUAAUAAUAAUAAUAAUAGUAAUUAUAAUAAUAAUAAUAAUAAUAGUAAUAAUAACCUUAACAACAUAAAUAAUGCUGUAGUGAAAAAUAAUCAUGCGUUAAACGAUUAUUUUAGAAUGCUCUAUGCAAAUAAAUCCAAUGAAAAAUUAUAUAAUAUUAUGGGUAAUGAAAAUGACUUUAAUAUAAAUAACGAUAACAUUUUUAAUACGAAUUUGAAUAAUGUUUUGAAUCUCCCCUUUAAUUAUAAGCACGACAUGAACAAAAUGGGGGGUAGGCGAUAUAUGGAUGGGAAAAACAUAAAAGAGGAACCAAAUAACAACCUAAGUGAAAAUGAUGAAAGUAAAAAAAACAAAAGCGUCCUUAACAAUGAUACCAGUAAUGAUAUCACACGUACUCAAAAUCAAAGCCAAAGUCAAAAUCAAAGCCAAAGUCAAAGUCAAAGUCAAACUCCAGAGAGCACUCACAGCGAUGGCGGUGCCGGUGAUGAAUAUGAUGAAAAAAAAGAUAUGUGCAAAUAUGAGCACAUAAAAAAAUUAGGAAGACAGGUAUAUGCAACUGUACAUGAACCAAGAAAUUUAAUUACGUUGACUAAAAAUAAAGAAGUCGAAGAUUGUGAUGUUAUAAUACAAAACAUUGAAAAAAUAAUAAAUAGAGAAUUUUCUAAUGUCAUAAUAAGUAAUGAUAAUUAUAGAGAUAAAGGUAUAAUUGUUACCAAAGAAAAAGAUAAUAUUAUGGCAAUUAACGACAGUUGUAAUAAUUUAUUAAACAGUAAUAUAAAAAAAAACACUACUUAUAUGUUAAAAAACAAAUUAAAUAUAAAUUACAAUGAUAUAAAUACCAACUUAAAAAAUAAUAUUAUAAAAAAGUUAUUAGAAAUAUUAUGGGAUAUUUAUAUUGAUAUAAAAAAAUUAUACAAAGACAUAGAAAAUUGUCCUUAUACUCAUGUUGAAACUAUAUCUAAAUAUACAGAUGAUAUAAAAAAAAAAAAAAAUUUUUUUUUUAAUUUUCUUUUUUUAAAUAAAUUAAAUAAUAAUAAACCAAUAAGUAAUUCAUUUUUUAAUCAUAAUAACAUUUUUACAAAUAAAAGUAUUAACAACAUAGAUAUUAUUAUAAGUAAAUAUUUAUAUACAUAUUUAACAAAUUAUAGUACAUUAUGUAGUAAUGACAAAGUAAAUAAUGACAGUGAACAUAUAGUGUUAUAUCCUAAUAUAAAAAAUUUAAUUAAACAUUUAGCCUUUGUUGAUAAACCUAUGUCAGUAGUAAAUUAUGUUAGAUGUUUGUAUGAUACCGAUGGUGAAAAGCGAAAAUGGUGUAAAGUAUGUCAGUACAAUAUGACUGAUAAUCAAAAAAAUGGCCCUACACAAAAGGGAAAGUGCAAGAACUGUUCGAAUAGCACGUGUAAUAUGAGUAGAACAAAUAAAAUGAGUAUGAAUGACACAUAUAACAAAAAACACAGGAUCAACUUGAAUAACAUCUUUUGGUAUAUUUUUCCAUAUAAUAAUAAUAUAGCUCAACUUGAAAAAUUUUGUUUAUUUGGAAAAACGAUAAUGUUUAACAGAAAAUACGUUCACUAUAAUUUUGAAAUGUAUAACAGUUGUGUUGGUGGUGAUGCGGGUGUUGGUGUUGGUGUUGGUGUUAGUGGUGAUGCUGGUGCUGGUUAUUGUGACAUUGUUACGGCUACAGCAUCACUGUUAAAGGAGAAAACAAAAAAAUAUAAAAAGCAAUUGAGUGGGAAUACCAUUUUAGAGAACGACACAGAGGAAUCGAAAUAUCCGUUUCAACUACAUAACGAAAUAGAAAUGGUAGAAAUUGACAAUGCAUUAAUAAAUAAUGAGUUAAACAAAUUAAGAAAUUUUUUUUAUACAACAUUUAAUGGUAUGUUAAAAAUAAAGGGUGCUUAUAUUUUUAAAAAAAUACUUAAAAUGUUAAAAAAAAAAAAAAGGAUGUUUUUAUUAUAUACAAUUUUUAAUAAUUAUUUAUUAAUGUAUUAUAUUUUGUCAUAUGCAGAUACUUGUUUUGAUACUAUGUUAGAAUAUAAAGAAUUUUUAAAAAUACAAUUAUUAUAUAUUAAUACAAACAUAAAUACACUUAAUGCCUUAUUAAAAAGUGAAAAAAAUCAGAUACGUGAUAUUAUCAAACAACCUAACAGCAAUACAAAUAGUAUAAAACAACUCAACAUUAGACAUAAAUUAUACAAUACCAACAUUUAUACAUCAUUAUAUAUACAUUUAGUAGAUAUAUCAUUAUCUUAUGCAUUUACUCCGCACAUUGGAAUUACUUAUAUUCAAAAUGUUUUAGCAAUAUUCUUAUUUUACAAUUACAUAUGUUUGUAUAUAACAAAACUUUUGUUUUAUAAGAGUGGAGCCGCCCUAAUAAUUAUAUUGUUAGUAAAAAUAAUUCCUUAUCUUAAGGAGCUAGAUAGGUUUGCUUGUUUGUUUGCUUUUUUUUUUUUUUUUUUUUUUUUUUUUUUUAUUACGCAUUCGCUCUUUCAUAUAUUUGUAUAUUUUAUUUAUCAUAUUAUAUUUGAAGCAGAAAAAAAAGAAUACAUAAACGUGACCACUUAUUUUAAUAUAAUGCUUUUUUAAUAACAUUUUUAUCAUUUGUAAUUAUCACGUAAACAAAAAUGGGUUAUAUAUAUGUAUAUAUAUAUAUAUACAUGCAUGUGUUUUUCCCUCUUUUCAGAAACCUGAUAGUUUGCUUUCUCUAUUCAGUAUUACAUAGCGUAUUUUACAUUCUAUGUAAUAUUUUUGUUUAUUUUAUGAAAAAAGUGAACAAGGAGAAUAAAAAACAAGAGUCACCAUGCA